UGCAGUCGUGGGGCAGCAUGAGUAGCAAUACUUGAUGGCGACCGGCAAACGGGUGCGGAACACGUACACAACCUUCCUUCAAGCGGGGAAUAGCCCAGAGAAAUUUGGAUUAAUACCCCAUAAAAUAUGAUAGAGGCAUCUCUACUAUAUUAAAGCUUCGGCACCUAAAGAUGGGUGUGCGUCUGAUUAGGUAGUUGGUGAGGUAACGGCUCACCAAGCCAACGAUCAGUAGCUGAUGUGAGAGCAUGAUCAGCCACACGGGCACUGAGACACGGGCCCGACUCCUACGGGAGGCAGCAGUAAGGAAUAUUGGACAAUGGACGCAAGUCUGAUCCAGCCAUGCCGCGUGAAGGAUUAAGGUCCUCUGGAUUGUAAACUUCUUUUAUAGGGGGCGAAAAAAGGGAAUUCUUUCCUUCUUGACGGUACUCUAUGAAUAAGCACCGGCUAACUCCGUGCCAGCAGCCGCGGUAAUACGGAGGGUGCAAGCGUUAUCCGGAUUCACUGGGUUUAAAAGGGUGCGUAGGCGGGUAAUUAAGUCAGUGGUGAAAUCUCGAAGCUUAACUUCGAAACUGCCAUUGAUACUAUUUAUCUUGAAUAUUGUGGAGGUUUGCGGAAUAUGUCAUGUAGCGGUGAAAUGCUUAGAUAUGACAUAGAACACCU
rnacentral:rRNA from 1 species